GUGUCGGUGGCUCAGUGGUUAAGCAAUUGACUUGCAAUCAGCAAGUCCUGGGUUCGAAUUCCGCCAUAUACC
rfam:Papilio machaon contig60225, whole genome shotgun sequence.